rnacentral:rRNA from 1 species
GGAUGAGCCCGCGGCCUAUCAGCUAGUUGGUGGGGUAAUGGCCUACCAAGGCGACGACGGGUAGCCGGCCUGAGAGGGCGACCGGCCACACUGGGACUGAGACACGGCCCAGACUCCUACGGGAGGCAGCAGUGGGGAAUAUUGCGCAAUGGGCGAAAGCCUGACGCAGCAACACCGCGUGAGGGAUGACGGCCUUCGGGUUGUAAACCUCUUUCAGCUCCGACGAAGCGAAAGUGACGGUAGGAGCAGAAGAAGCACCGGCUAACUACGUGCCAGCAGCCGCGGUAAUACGUAGGGUGCAAGCGUUGUCCGGAAUUAUUGGGCGUAAAGAGCUCGUAGGCGGUCCGUUGCGUCUGCCGUGAAAACCCGGAGCUCAACUCCGGGCCUGCGGUGGAUACGGGCGGACUAGAGUCCGGUAGGGGAGACUGGAAUUCCUGGUGUAGCGGUGGAAUGCGCAGAUAUCAGGAGGAACACCGGUGGCGAAGGCGGGUCUCUGGGCCGGAACUGACGCUGAGGAGCGAAAGCGUGGGGAGCGAACAGGAUUAGAUACCCUGGUAGUCCACGCCGUAACGGUGGGCGCUAGGUGUGGGGAUCGUUUCCACGAUCUCCGUGCCGCAGCUAACGCAUUAAGCGCCCCGCCUGGGGAGUACGGCCGCAGGCUAAA